AUUGAACGCUGGCGGCAUGCCUUACACAUGCAAGUCGAACGGCAGCACGGGAGCAAUCCUGGUGGCGAGUGGCGAACGGGUGAGUAAUACAUCGGAACGUGCCCAAUCGUGGGGGAUAACGCAGCGAAAGCUGUGCUAAUACCGCAUACGAUCUACGGAUGAAAGCAGGGGAUCGCAAGACCUUGCGCGAAUGGAGCGGCCGAUGGCAGAUUAGGUAGUUGGUGAGGUAAAGGCUCACCAAGCCGUCGAUCUGUAGCUGGUCUGAGAGGACGACCAGCCACACUGGGACUGAGACACGGCCCAGACUCCUACGGGAGGCAGCAGUGGGGAAUUUUGGACAAUGGGCGAAAGCCUGAUCCAGCCAUGCCGCGUGCAGGAUGAAGGCCUUCGGGUUGUAAACUGCUUUUGUACGGAACGAAACGGCCUUUUCUAAUAAAGAGGGCUAAUGACGGUACCGUAAGAAUAAGCACCGGCUAACUACGUGCCAGCAGCCGCGGUAAUACGUAGGGUGCAAGCGUUAAUCGGAAUUACUGGGCGUAAAGCGUGCGCAGGCGGUUAUGUAAGACAGUUGUGAAAUCCCCGGGCUCAACCUGGGAACUGCAUCUGUGACUGCAUAGCUAGAGUACGGUAGAGGGGGAUGGAAUUCCGCGUGUAGCAGUGAAAUGCGUAGAUAUGCGGAGGAACACCGAUGGCGAAGGCAAUCUCCCUGGACCUGUACUGACGCUCAUGCACGAAAGCGUGGGGAGCAAACAGG
rnacentral:rRNA from 1 species